rnacentral:rRNA from 1 species
AGACCCGAAACCCGGUGAUCUAGCCAUGGGCAGGUUGAAGGUUGGGUAACACUAACUGGAGGACCGAACCGACUAAUGUUGAAAAAUUAGCGGAUGACCUGUGGCUGGGGGUGAAAGGCCAAUCAAACCGGGAGAUAGCUGGUUCUCCCCGAAAGCUAUUUAGGUAGCGCCUCGUGAAUUCAUCUCCGGGGGUAGAGCACUGUUUCGGCUAGGGGGCCAUCCCGGCUUACCAACCCGAUGCAAACUGCGAAUACCGGAGAAUGUUAUCACGGGAGACACACGGCGGGUGCUAACGUCCGUCGUGAAGAGGGAAACAACCCAGACCGCCAGCUAAGGUCCCAAAGUCAUGGUUAAGUGGGAAACGAUGUGGGAAGGCCCAGACAGCCAGGAUGUUGGCUUAGAAGCAGCCAUCAUUUAAAGAAAGCGUAAUAGCUCACUGGUCGAGUCGGCCUGCGCGGAAGAUGUAACGGGGCUAAACCAUGCACCGAAGCUGCGGCAGCGACACUCAGGUGUUGUUGGGUAGGGGAGCGUUCUGUAAGCCUGUGAAGGUGGCCUGU